UACGAAGGGGGCUAGCGUUGUUCGGAAUUACUGGGCGUAAAGGGCGCGUAGGCGGCGUGUCAAGUCAGGCGUGAAAGCCCCGGGCUCAACCUGGGAACCGCGCUUGAGACUGGCAUGCUCGAGUUCGGGAGAGGAUGGUGGAAUUCCCAGUGUAGAGGUGAAAUUCGUAGAUAUCGGGAGGAACACCAGUGGCGAAGGCGGCUCUCUGGGCAGAUACUGACGCUGAGACGCGAAAAGCAUGGGGGAGCAAACAGG
rnacentral:rRNA from 1 species